UUUUGUUUUCCCAUUUAGGUCAAUUUUCUAAAUCUCAGUCCUCUGCAAACUCCAGGGAUUAUGCAGGAUGUCAAGGCUUUCAUUUUCCUGGCUGUCAGAAAGAUCCGGUGUGAGGACAGGGUCCCACCCAUCCAAAGCCAUCACCGAGGGCUCCAGGUGACCCACCCAGGGCUGUUUGGCGACGGGGGUGUGAUCCAAGGAUAUUCCCGAGGAUCCGGAGGGGCGGACAGGACCUGUCACCAGCUCUCCCCGCUGGCACCGAGCCCCGUCCGCGGCCUCCUGGGUGGGAGCCCGGGGAGCGGCCGCAGCUCCCGAGCGCCUUUCCCAGCACGGUGACCAAACCCCGCCGUUCCCGUCCUUCUGAUCCGUCUUUGGCCGCCAAUUAGCACGACGUGAGAACUUGUCUCCCUGCUGACGCGCCCGUGUGACUCCUCAGAUGCUUUAAUUGCGGUGUUUUCGGCGGCCGGGUGCAAUGAAAUGGUAAUUGUUGUGAUUGUGUGCCGGGCGGGAACUGAGAGAUGCAGCUCUUUGGCGAAGCCUAAUUAGGAAAUAGGGACACUGUUGGGAAUGGCUCUGCGAUGUGAUUUUCCUAAUGAAAGCCGCUGAAUAGGCAGCCUUGUAAUGAAGAACAGCCUAGCAAGGGCACUUCCAAUUGCUCUUCUCUAGUGUUAAUUUUGUAUUUCCUCCCCAUUGUUUCUAAUACCCUCUUGGAAAAGCUUGAAGAUAAAAUGCUUUAUUUCCUUGCGCCUCGUAUCCUGUUUGGCAAGCGGCGAUUGGAGCAUGUGCAUCUGGAAUACAUGAGAGGCCAGGCAGGAGCUCCUUCAGACUUGUUCAUCUCUGAUUUCAAGCUCUGCGACUGGAAAAAAAACCAAAAAAACCAAAAAAAGAGAAGAAAAUAAAGCAACUUCAGCUUGUGGCUGCCGGGCUCCC
rnacentral:lncRNA from 1 species